AAAAAUAUUCGAAGUGAUGUGUUGUGUGUUGUGUACAUUGGAAACUAUACAGGCUGAAACGGACCCACCAAAAACCAAAACAAAUCUACUUAGAUGGAGGCUGGGAUGUUUCCGCGCGGCACUGGACUGUUCUGGAC